AUUUCAUUCACUGAAACACUAUUUUCUCUAUGGUGGAUUACCAACUCUCUAAAUUCUUUUGUGAUGGCACGAGGCAUUGUCUUCGGUAUCAUAACAUAUCAUUUGACUACAUCAUCCUCAUCCCUGCAUCUCGCCGAGUAUUUGAGGGAAAAUUUUUAUUUCCCCCUAUUGCACAUGGUUUUUUAUUAUCAAUUGUGAAAGCCAUAAUAUUAGUCCGCCGUGCGUUUUUUAUAAAGACAUCAAUAUUCAUUUUAAACACGUCACAGUUCUCUCGUCGCUAUCAGAACCCUACCCCUCGUUGCUAGCGAACUACAUAAUGGA
rnacentral:lncRNA from 1 species